rnacentral:rRNA from 1 species
CAGCUCUUGACAUGCUAGGUUCCGGACUUGAGAGAUCAGGUCCUUCAGUUCGGCUGGGCCUAGUACAGGUGCUGCAUGGCUGUCGUCAGCUCGUGUCGUGAGAUGUUGGGUUAAGUCCCGCAACGAGCGCAACCCUCAUCUUCCGUUGCCAUCAGGUUAAGCUGGGCACUCUGAAGAAACUGCCGGUGACAAGCCGGAGGAAGGUGGGGAUGACGUCAAGUCCUCAUGGCCUUUAUGAGCUGGGCCACACACGUGCUACAAUGGCGGUGACAAUGGGAUGCUAAGGGGCGACCCCCAGCGAAUCUCAAAAAGCCGUCUCAGUUCGGAUUGCACUCUGCAACUCGAGUGCAUGAAGUUGGAAUCGCUAGUAAUCGCGGAUCAGCAUGCCGCGGUGAAUACGUUCCC